GUGUGCUCCUUUGUCCCCGGAACAGCACUGGGGCCUUCUCUCCCAUGUCGUGUGGGAGGAAACGGGCUUGGAGAGGUUUUGCACUGGCGGAGUGGGGUACCCUCAGCUGUACCCUCUGUUCUGAGGGCUGCUACCUUCCUAGCCUCAGCUGGAGGCCAGGGGCCAGGGAUAGGGAGGAGCGAUCAGGGGCUGUCCCAGGCUUGCUUCUCACCAGUGGGGUCUGCUCAGUGGAGUCAGAAGAGGGAUCAAUGUGACCAUUUUUUUUUUUUAAAUGUCUGAGUUGCUGCUUUGUUUACCUUUGUUCACAGUUGCCAAGUGCAGCCCAGUGGACUCAGGAAAAUGGGUUGCAGAGGAAGGUAGACUGUGGCCUCCCACCUGCCUGCUGGGACUUCUCUUGGGAGCACCAUGGCAGCACAUCUGGAGGCCGUGUGCUGUAUGAUCCCAUCCCAGCAGCCCUGGGGGGGAGACCCCCCAUGAAACCACUGGCUGCUGAGAAGCCCAGGCAGGAGGAGGCUCACGGCUCCUGGUGGCUCUGCAGAUAGUGGGUGAGUGGCGGUCCCAGGAUUUGCACUGUCUGGAUUCACAGCACCCUCUGGACCUUGGAGUUUCCCAAGUCUGCAGGCAGGGAUAGCUGCUGGCCCCCGCCCUGACUCUGGCCCCGUCAGACGGCCUUUCCUCUGCUUCCUGAGGUCCUCUUGGCUGUCCUGGCCCGACCACCUGUAGACAGCCACACAGUUGCUUGCCACAUUGACUGUGGGCAGGGUACAGGGCGGAGGCAGCACGUGGGUUGGGGACUUGGGUGUUCCUGGCCUGCUGAAGGCCCCCUAUUUCUUGGCUGCCAUCUGGAAACCAAGGGGUCUUGGGUUCCCACUCCUGCCCAUUGGGCUUUGCUUGCUGUAGCCUAGGGAUGUGGCGUAUGUGAGGCCUAAGCACAGCAGGGCCCCAGGGUGUCUGGGGGCAGGUCUGGGGCUGGACGGGUCCUGGGGCCUUAGGGUUCGUGCUCACCCCGGGUAGGCUGGGUGCUGCCUGGUGGGCUUUGGAGAGGGGGUGAGAGACUCUUUCCACCUGGGCUGCUUGCUCAUGCCACUGGCCCAGGAAACCCCUACUUUUCCCACACUGCUUGGGGGUGCCCAAUAGGCAAAGGGUAGCAGGAGGGGCCAGACCAUUGUCCUGGAAGCCUGGCCAUCCCGCCUCAGAAGAUCAUAAUCCUGAUCCAGGAGGAGGCCAGCGGCUAGGUCACUGCCCUGAGCUUGGGGGCACAUCUGACCCUGACCCCUCUACCCAUCUUCAGUGCCCAUGACAAGGGGAGUUUCUGGAAGCAGGGUGAGGUGGGACUCUGGGGCAGAAGAGUUUGGGCCACAUCCGAAGGUUUGAGAUUCCCUGGGUCCUGAGACUUCACUUAUUAGCAUGCCCUGGACAGCUCCACCUGAGGGGCAGGGUCUCCAGUCCAUGCACACCUGGUGCCCAGAGAGCAGCCUCUGCCGUAUCAUGCCCCAUUCCAGGAGGAUGAGCCCCCUCCAUAUGCAGGUGUGUGUGUCUAGGUGUAUGUGCAUUGUGUCUGCACUUGUGUGCACACCUGUGUGCAUGGGCCUGAAUGUGUGUGCUCCUGCAUGGGUGUACCUGAGUGUGUGCGUGCACCUGUGUGUGUGUGCAGCUGUGCAGUGCACCCGAGUGUGUGUGCAUACCUGUGUUGUACACCUGAAUGUGUGCGCAUACCUGUUUGGUGCACCUGAGUGUGUGCGCAUACCUGUUUGGUGCACCUGAGUGUUGCGCACCUGUGUGGUGCACCUUAGCGUGUGUGCGCACCUGUGUUGUACACCUGUGUGCGGACACCUGUGUGGUGCACCUGAGUAUCGCACACCUGUGUGGUGCACCUUAGUGUUGCACACCUGUGCAGUGCACCUGAGUGUUGCACACUUGUGUGGUGUUCCUGAGUGUGUGUGCACACCUGUGCAGUGCAUUUGAGCAUGUGUGCACACCUGCAUGGUGCACCUCAGUGUUGCACACCUGUGUGGUGCUCCUGAGCGUGUGUGCAUACCUGUGCGGUGUUCCUGAGCAUGUGCGCACACCUGUGCAGUGUUCCUGAGUGUGUGCAGACUCCUGUGUGGUGCACCUGAGUGGUGCACACCUGUGUGGUGCACCUGCACACAUGCAUGCUGUUAUGUUGUGACAAGGCAACAGCACUUUGUCAGGAUCGGUCCAUCACCUGCUCCAGUGCCAGGUGUUUCUCAGAGUGCUUGUGCCCAGCUCAGGCUCUAGGUGUAGGACUGGCCCUUCACUGCAGAGCUGCCGGGCCAGUGGUCAGACAAAAACGGAAAACCAUCAAGCCGCUAGCAGGCAGGUGGGGUGGAGGUGUGUAUAGGGCACUGGGGGCACAGAAGAGCCAGGACCAGGCCACUUUCCAGAGAAGGUGAUGCCUGAGUUAGUGCAAAUGCCUGUGUGAGGCAGGAUGGGGGUGAGGGGUCCAAAGGCCCAGGAGGGAGGUGUGGGACACUGGGUGUGUGCGUGGGGUGUAAGCACAUGUGUGGCCCAGCCUCAGAAGCUCUGCAUCGGCCUGGGUAUGGGUGGCGUUCUCAGAUGCCUUGUGUCUCGUGUCCCCGUGUCUGCAGGCCUCGGUCUGGACCGGCACAUGCAUUUGUAAUUACGUCUGAGAUUUCAGGGGGAGAAGGUGGUGGCUGCCCUGCGCCAGUUCAAAGGCUUUACCUUGGGAGAACUCAGAACGUCUGUCGGCAGAGCUCGGCCCACACCAGUGACCAAGGAGGCCGGGAGAGAUGCUGAGGUCCUACGUGUGUCCUUGCCUGGUGGGGGUGCUGUGAGGCAGCCUUGGGAGUUGACUGAUCAGCUGCCAGAGGACGCGCUCCUCCGAGAAGAAGUGGGUUUUGCUUUCUCAGGCCUGGAGGUUGGAUACUGGGUCUGUGCUGUUCUUAAUAGCACUGGCCAGCAGGCUCAGACGUCGUGGGGGGGGGGGUCAGGAAUCUGGGGAGUGGCUGGGGCGGGGCUGCUGGUGUUGGGGUCAGGCCUCUCCCUGUAUGGAGCAGUCAGAGACCCCUCUGUCCAGGCACAGGUCUGCUGCAGGGGUGGGGAGGGUCUGGGAAGCGCCUUGGGAAUCCUGCCACCACAGCUGGGACACUAACCAGUUCCUAGUCCCCUAAGUGCAGUUUUCCAUGUGGCCGCCAGGCUGGUGGGCUUCCCAUGGUGGCUACUCUUGGCCUCUGUCUUCUGGGGCCUGGUGUGAGUGUGGCCCUCGUGGACACAACAUCUAAGUAGCAGGCUGGGCUCUCUGGCCUCCGUGUGUGUGAACAGUGGUCAGAGUCCCCAAUGACUCAGGUCCCAGGUAAAUCUGUGGAGUCCUCUGAUGUCACCCAAGGCUACCUCACCCCCUACCGUCAGGGCCCAGAGCAGAGGCCUCUGUUUGGAGACGCUGCCUUGGUGCUCUCCUGCCCAUUCUCAGGGUCCCCUCCUUCUGGACAUUUGUUGGGAUAGUGAUCACCUCAUAGUGGGCGCUGGACAGGCCUUGCCUGCUGACCUCUCCUUUGGACUUGUGCCUCAGUGCCCUCAGCUACAGAUGGGACGCAGAUGACCCCUGCCGCUCAGGGGUCCUGUGAGGAGACCCAGAACAGCAGCCCACAUGGGAGACUGCAGAAUUGGAUGCCCACAGCUCCUGGUGUUCAAAUGGUCUUUCAAGUGUCUCUGUGUCAGAGUUUCCUGUGACACCUAUGAGGGACUGCAGUGGUUUCUGAAAAGGAAAAGCAGUCGCUUCGAACUGACCUAGAAGCAUCAUUAAGCUAUGCAUUGCUCUUGGAGUAAAAAGUAAAAUAAAAAUAAACAAAAAGCA